UUGAACGCUGGCGGCAUGCCUUACACAUGCAAGUCGAACGGUAACAGCUCUUCGGAGGCUGACGAGUGGCGAACGGGUGAGUAAUACAUCGGAACGUGCCCGAUCGUGGGGGAUAACGGAGCGAAAGCUUUGCUAAUACCGCAUACGAUCUACGGAUGAAAGCAGGGGACCCUCGGGCCUUGCGCGAACGGAGCGGCCGAUGGCAGAUUAGGUAGUUGGUGGGAUAAAAGCUUACCAAGCCGACGAUCUGUAGCUGGUCUGAGAGGACGACCAGCCACACUGGGACUGAGACACGGCCCAGACUCCUACGGGAGGCAGCAGUGGGGAAUUUUGGACAAUGGGCGAAAGCCUGAUCCAGCAAUGCCGCGUGCAGGAUGAAGGCCUUCGGGUUGUAAACUGCUUUUGUACGGAACGAAAUCGGGCGCGUGAAUAGCGUGCCUGGAUGACGGUACUGUCAGAAGAAGCACCGGCUAACUACGU
rnacentral:rRNA from 1 species